UGGUAUGAACACAAAAUGAAUGAAGUUUUUUGGGUUUAUCAAGAUCGAUCGUCCCAUCUCUGACCGGCGAGAUCUGUCGUCAUACUCCGACGUUGUUUCCGGCGAGAUUUGGCGGUUUCGUCUAGCUACGACACCAUCUUCGUUGUCUCCGUCGGGUACCUCGUCUCUGUCUUCCUCUCACAACGUCACUUUCAUAUUGACUCUAAGGUCAUCUUCCUUCAUCAUCAUCGUCUCCGUCUUCAUUUGGUAUCGUCAAUCCUCACCAUCAUCUUCCUAUAUCUUCCU
rnacentral:lncRNA from 1 species